GACGAACGCUGGCGGCGUGCCUAAUACAUGCAAGUCGAGCGGACCUCUUCGGAGGUUAGCGGCGGACGGGUGAGUAACACGUGGGCAACCUGCCUGUAAGACUGGGAUAACUCCGGGAAACCGGAGCUAAUACCGGAUAGUAUCUUGAACCGCAUGGUUCAAGUUGGAAAGACGGUUUCGGCUGUCACUUACAGAUGGGCCCGCGGCGCAUUAGCUAGUUGGUGAGGUAAUGGCUCACCAAGGCAACGAUGCGUAGCCGACCUGAGAGGGUGAUCGGCCACACUGGGACUGAGACACGGCCCAGACUCCUACGGGAGGCAGCAGUAGGGAAUCUUCCGCAAUGGACGAAAGUCUGACGGAGCAACGCCGCGUGAGUGAUGAAGGUUUUCGGAUCGUAAAACUCUGUUGUUAGGGAAGAACAAGUGCGAGAGUAACUGCUCGCACCUUGACGGUACCUAACCAGAAAGCCACGGCUAACUACGUGCCAGCAGCCGCAGUAAAAC
rnacentral:rRNA from 1 species